UACAGAGGGUGCGAGCGUUGUCCGGAAUCACUGGGCGUAAAGGGCGCGUAGGCGGCCCGGUAAGGUUGCGGUGAAAGCCCGGGGCUCAACCCCGGGUCGGCCGUGGCAACUGCUGGGCUGGAGCACAGUAGAGGCGGGUGGAAUUCCGGGUGUAGCGGUGGAAUGCGUAGAGAUCCGGAAGAACACCGGUGGCGAAGGCGGCCCGCUGGGCUGUUGCUGGACGCUGAGGCGCGACAGCGUGGGGAGCAAACAGGAUUAGAGUACCCUA
rnacentral:rRNA from 1 species